UCUCAAGCAGUAACUGCAAGGAAACUGCGACUUGUCUUUGGAGUUGACACCACCAGAUCUUUGGUCAAGUUCUUAGUAAAACCAGUUUUCCCUAGUACACAGGGAAGGCUCCAGACUCUCCGUUACUCUCCACAGAUUCUAGGAAUUCCCAGACUCAUCUAGAGAAGGAAUCAGUCUGAAUAUCCUGCUAAGGCAAGGCUACUCAACUCAAUCACUCUGUGUUAGUACCAAUUUUAAUAAGAUGCAAGUACAAAGUUGUCCCCAAUUUAGUUGUAUAGAAGUAAAAAAAUAGAGCUCCAUACUUUUCCAGGUAUCAGAAGUGGUUUGGUUGACCCUGGGGUAAAAAUCCAGAUUUCUCAAAUCAUAAAGUCUCACAUUCUUGGCCUAGGAGUGAGUAUAGGAUUGUAGGAAAGAUUUGGAAUUAGUCAUUGGUUUCAAUCGUAAAUGACUGUGCACCUUAGACAAGUUAUUUGACUUGUCUGAGCCUUGGUUUCUUCAUCUGGAAACCAACAUCUGGUAGAAAAGGAUAAAAGUAGAAUACAAGUCAGAUAUCUUGAAGACACUAAGGAAACUCUGAAAGACAGAAGACAGUAGGCCAAUAUAUUCAAAGUGCUAAAAAUAAAAAAUAAAAACCCUUGUCAACCAAGAAUCCUAUAUCCAGAAAAGCUGUCCUUCAAAUGUGAGGGGUAAAUUAAGACAUUCCCAGAAAAACUAAAGCUGAGGGAGUUUGUAAGCACUAGAUCUACCCUACAAGAAAUGUUCAAGAAAUGCUUCAAGUUGAAAUAAAAGGACACUUCAUAGUAACUCAAAGCCAUAUGGAGCAAUAAAAGAUCUCAAUAAAGAAAUCUGAACUGAAAACAGAUGGUUAACUGCGGUGCAGACAGGGCCAGCCAUUCUGUCUAUUGUGGCAGUUGAACAAAGUAUGAGCUACAGAAUCACUGCCCUGAUGGUGACUGAAGCAGAUGAGGAGAGACGGGAGCUCACAAGCAGGAUGCUCAAACUCAGGCCAGGAGUUCAUGUACGAUCCAACUCCCAUCAGUCUGACAAGUCACUCUGAUCCAGCACGAUUAUCCUGUGUAUUUUUUAAACACACACAAAAAAAGAGUUUCAAGUAUUUGAGGGUAACUAUCAAAUAUUCUCCACUCCACCUGCACUUCUCCAGCUGAGCCUCCCUAACUCCUUCAGCUAUUCUCACAUGAUAUGGUUUUCAGACCUCUGACUAUUCGAUGGCCACCCUCUUCUGUUUGUCAACAUCGCUUUUAAAAUAUGGCACCCAGGGGCACCUGAGUGGCUCAGUCAAUUAAGCAUCUGACUCUUGAUUUCGGCUCAGGUCAUGAUCUCACAGUUCGUGAGCUUGAGCACAUCUGGCUCUGUGCUGACAGUGUGGAGCCUGCUUGAGAUUCUCUUUCUGCCCUUCCCCUGCUCUCUCUUUCUCAAAAUAGAUACACUUUAAAAAAACAAGCCUAUAUCUUUAAAAUAAAACAAACAAAAAAUAAAAUAAAA